AGGUAACGGCUUACCAAGACAGCGAUAGAUAGGGGCCCUGAGAGGGGGAUCCCCCACACUGGUACUGAGACACGGACCAGACUCCUACGGGAGGCAGCAGUGAGGAAUAUUGGACAAUGGAGGCAACUCUGAUCCAGCCAUGCCGCGUGAAGGAAGACUGCCCUAUGGGUUGUAAACUUCUUUUAUAGAGGAAGAAACGUGAUUACGUGUAAUCAUUUGACGGUAC
rnacentral:rRNA from 13 species